ensembl:snoRNA
CGCUCGUUUCUUGGCAUACAUUUUGUUGUUCAGUACUCGUGUGUGUGUAAUGUUUGGAGGUAAAGCAGAGUGCUGUCUUUGGUGCCAGCGUGUUUAUACAGUGGUUCUAUCCUCAAUCACUGUAACACAC